rnacentral:tRNA from 1 species
UGUUUAAAUAGCUUAAAUUAUUAAAGCAAAGCUUUGAAGAAGCUUCGAUGUUAUUUUCUUUAAACAGC